CGUUCAGUGAAGUCGGGGCCGGUUUUAUAUACGUCAAAAUGGAGAAAAUUAUAUUUAAAUACUUUUACUGAAUACAGAGAAUAAAAAAGAAGGAACAAUAUUUUGGAAAAAGUGCCUGGGAAGGAAAAUAAGUUUCUUGAAGAAGAGGAGUGCCUGAAAAGAAUGAGGAGUGUUUGAAUGAGUCUCCAGAACGGAGAGAAGUGCUUUUUUAGGAAAAGAGCUCCUAGAAAGGAUAAGGAUUGCCUGGAAAGGAUAUGGAGUGCCUAGAAAGAAUAAGAAGUGCCUAGAAAGGAUAAAAAGUGACUUGAAUUGAUAGGAAGUGCCUAAAAAGGAUCAGGAGUUCCUUAAAAAAGGAUAAGGAAUGCCUGUAAAGGAUAGAGAGUGCCUGGAAAGGAUAAAGAGUGCCUGUAAAGAAUAAAGAGUGCCUGGAAAGGAUAAAGAGUGCCUGGAAAGGAGUGCCUAAUGAGGAAGUGCCCGAAGAAUAUGUGCGGAGAGAGGUUAAAGAUUGAAGAGAAGGGUGGAGUCAGGAUGAAUUAUAAGAAGGGUAGAGGAGGGAGGAGGGAGGAGGGGGGAGGAGAGAGAUUGAGGCUAACAGUGCCUAGAGAAGCAAGAAACCCCAGGAUUUACCGGAGAAUAAGAGCGGUGGAGUAGGUGGGUGUGGCGGACACAAGGAGUUAUUUCUUCCCAACCUUCGGAGAACCCAGAUCCGGAGCUAAUCUGUUCCAAACCUUGAAAGGAGCAGGAGGUCCAACUCCGGAGAUAACUGUUGCUAAACCUUUUCCGGGUAGAACUAAUACACAGAUAAACCCUGGAUAUGAAACUAGUAUCUGCUCCAAGUUUGGUUAGAUCUAUUCUCUAGUAUGGAGUAAAUACUAGAGAUUACUCCGGGUCCCUGGUUACAGUCGGGACUGAUGUGCUAAAAAAAGUCCCCAAUAUAAAUCUGGUGCCUGAUUUAUUAUGAAAAAGGUUAGCGCGAUGAAAGAGCGCUAUGCCCCGCUCACAGAUGAAGAAAUGGAAGCAGUUACAGUCGUCUUCCAUCAAUAUGAAACCGGGCUAAGAGAAGGAACAAUAUAUACCAAGGACCUACUUCAGGCAAUGAAAGCUCUAGGGCUGUCUCCAACAGAACAGGAAGUGGUGGAUAUGCAGGUCAAAUAUGAUAGUAUUUUUAUCAUUGGUUGGAUGUUUAUAAAUCCCUUUGGAUUUGUUAAACUGGGUCAUGUGAGUUGCCAUAAAAUAUUUUGGCCGGAUCGGUUUAGUCGUGUUUACAUCUAUUGGAUACCAACAGGCAAUAAAUGCGUUUAUCUGGAUUGAUAGAAUCUAAUAAAGUUGAUAGAAGCAAGACCCAAAUGAAGGAAUAGCUAAAUACGUUGUACCAUGGAAUAAUAAAGAUUUUUUUGUUUAAUAUUACUGUUAUGAACACUAAGCAGAGAU